rnacentral:rRNA from 1 species
UACAGAGGUCUCAAGCGUUGUUCGGAUUCAUUGGGCGUAAAGGGCGCGUAGGCUGCGGGGCAAGUCGGGUGUGAAAUCUCAGAGCUCAACUCUGAAACUGCACUCGAUACUGCUUUGCUUGAGGACUGGAGAGGAGAUUGGAAUUCACGGUGUAGCAGUGAAAUGCGUAGAUAUCGUGAGGAAGACCAGUGGCGAAGGCGGAUCUCUGGACAGCUCCUGACGCUGAGGCGCGAAGGCUAGGGGAGCAAACGGG